CAGUCGCCACGGUAAUACGUAGGUCCCGAGCGUUGUCCGGAUUUAUUGGGCGUAAAGGGAGCGCAGGCGGUUUAGUAAGUCUGAAGUUAAAGGCAUUGGCUCAACCAAUGUAUGCUUUGGAAACUGUUAGACUUGAGUGCAGAAGGGGAGAGUGGAAUUCCAUGUGUAGCGGUGAAAUGCGUAGAUAUAUGGAGGAACACCGGUGGCGAAAGCGGCUCUCUGGCUUGUAACUGACGCUGAGGCUCGAAAGCGUGGGGAGCAAACAGGAUUAGAUACCCGCGUAGUCCCUGUCUCUUAUACA
rnacentral:rRNA from 1 species